AGAGUUUGAUCAUGGCUCAGGACGAACGCUGGCGGUGUGCUUCACACAUGCAAGUCGAACGGAAAGGCCCUUCGGGGUGCUCGAGUGGCGAACGGGUGAGUAACACGUGGGUGAUCUGCCCUGCACUUUGGGAUAAGCCUGGGAAACUGGGUCUAAUACCGAAUAUGACCAUGCACUUCCUGGUGUGUGGUGGAAAGCUUUUGCGGUGUGGGAUGGGCCCGCGGCCUAUCAGCUUGUUGGUGGGGUAAUGGCCUACCAAGGCGACGACGGGUAGCCGGCCUGAGAGGGUGACCGGCCACACUGGGACUGAGAUACGGCCCAGACUCCUACGGGAGGCAGCAGUGGGGAAUAUUGCACAAUGGGCGCAAGCCUGAUGCAGCGACGCCGCGUGAGGGAUGACGGCCUUCGGGUUGUAAACCUCUUUCAGCACAGACGAAGCGCGAGUGACGGUAUGUGCAGAAGAAGGACCGGCCAACUACGUGCCAGCAGCCGCGGUAAUACGUAGGGUCCGAGCGUUGUCCGGAAUUACUGGGCGUAAAGAGCUCGUAGGUGGUUUGUCGCGUUGUUCGUGAAAACUCACAGCUUAACUGUGGGCGUGCGGGCGAUACGGGCAGACUGGAGUACUGCAGGGGAGACUGGAAUUCCUGGUGUAGCGGUGGAAUGCGCAGAUAUCAGGAGGAACACCGGUGGCGAAGGCGGGUCUCUGGGCAGUAACUGACGCUGAGGAGCGAAAGCGUGGGGAGCGAACAGGAUUAGAUACCCCGGUAGUCC
rnacentral:rRNA from 1 species